UACGGAGGGUGCAAGCGUUAUCCGGAUUCACUGGGUUUAAAGGGUGCGUAGGUGGGCAGGUAAGUCAGUGGUGAAAUCUCUGGGCUUAACUCAGAAACUGCCAUUGAUACUAUCUGUCUUGAAUACCGUGGAGGUCAGCGGAAUAUGUCAUGUAGCGGUGAAAUGCUUAGAUAUGACAUAGAACACCAAAUUGCGAAGGCAGCUGGCUACACGAAUAUUGACACUGAUGCACGAAAGCGUGGGGAUCAAACAGG
rnacentral:rRNA from 1 species